rnacentral:tRNA from 1 species
GACCCCUUCGUCUAGUGGUUAGGACACAUCCCUUUCACGGAUGUGACACGGGUUCGAGUCCCGUAGGGGUCGCCA